ensembl:lncRNA
CAUAGAGAUGGAAUGGUGUGGUCGAUGGACUGAGCCUUUCAUGUCCGACAGGGAAACAGGAUGAAAGAGAGGAGGUGGGUGGGUUGUUUGGAAUAGAGAUGUGUGUCAUUCAAGGCUGAGUGGAAAAAAAGUCAGACUCAAAGAGAUUGAACAAGACACUGGACAGAGAGGACCACAGAUGAACCGCUGAAGGGAAAUAAUACAUGGGAGAGGAUUCAAAGGACCAAACCAUUUCGGAUUUUGAACGGGGGAAUGAGCCACAUUAUUCCUACACCAGAGGACCCACGUCCCAAAAUAUAAGCAUGGAUAACAGCGUUCAGAGGACAGUUGGAGCUUCAAGACCUCCUCCCGUUCUUCGACCUCCUCCACUGUUUCGCAGCAUAGGACCGCCUGGGCUCCCUGCCGGUGUGCCCCCACACAGACGACUCCGCUCUAUGUUCUGCAGGUCUAGAGCUGUGUUGCCCGCAAACACACACGUCGUAGGAGACUCAGACGUACGCACUUUCACAGACAUUCUAACGGGCAAUCAUGCUCCCACAAUUAUGUGCCCACUUGGGUGCAAUGACGCACUCUCAGAGGAUAUCCGGCGCGGCACAAUGUCCGCUGCACUGGAGCCUGCAGUGGACUCCGACCUACAAAGCGGAGCUGCAGUGUUCAGGUCAGGGUUUUUUGCAGAUCGCGUGAGUCCUCGGGCACACAAUGUGAGGCAAGACAGACGGCUGUUUUCUCACGUCUGUCCAUCUGCAAGAGUCAACGUCAGACAGGGCAGCGGGGUGACUCCACUUCAGACAUCAGAGGAGCCUGCGAUCAAAGAAAGGCAGCAUCAAAAGAGGAGAAAGAGGAGCUAUAGGGUGGACUGUACAGGGGAAGGUGCAGUGCCCUCGCUCACUGAAAAAAGAAGAGGAUACCAGGCUCUGUGAAUGGUUACAAAGUCUGGGCAUUGCAGGUGGCAAGGCCAAGGCCUCCAUCACUACAAACAACCAGCAACAGCUAUUUGUAUCCAGGUGCAGUGGGGUGAUGAGCCUCAGACACCCAGACACAGCGGCGAGCCAAAGGAGAGACAGACGCCCCCAUUUCCUACCUCCCAUCUGUCAGUCGGACUCCCUCCUUCAUGUGCCCCUCCUGCUUCCUGAAAACUCCCCCCCCGCCCUCACCCUGCACCGACCCGGACGCCCCCAUCCACUACCUACCCAUACCGCCACUGAAGCCCAUCUCAUCGAGGAGGAAGUGAGAAGCAGUCGGCCAGCCAGUUUUGUACUGAUCGUGUUUCAGACUCAUGCCUUGUUAGGUUCUCACUGGCUCUCGAAUGACGACAAUUUCAAAACGUUAUGGAUAUACUGUAAAAACCUGUGUUUUAUUCUAAUCAAUUGAUUCCAUGCAGAUAAACCAGGGGAGAAUGAACACCUCCAUUAAAGGCUUUUCUUCAGCAGUUGUUGGAGCUGCUAUAUCUGUUUACAUGAUAUUAAGUUAUUCUAUUUUACUCCCAACGUAUUCAUAAAGGAGGACAAUUAACGUGGAGCAUAUCUUCUGGUCUUUGUGCCUUUAUUGAAUAGGCAGGACAUGUAGGGGGGAAAGCAGAAGGGAAGGAUAUGCAGCAAACGUCCAAACCCUCUGCUCAGGGUAUUUAUGUCCAUGUGGUAUGUACCCUAAACAUCCAGCUAUCAGAUUGCCCCAACAGUACAGCAUUCGCCAGGGGGGGCAUGUGGGGAUUGUGUAGUAGCUCAACAACAAAACAAAACAAAAACACAACAGAAAACCUGGAUUUCAUUUGAAAAUAUAAAUUGACAUAUUGAGUCAGCCGAGCGCAACCUGUUGUAAAUGUGUCAGAAGUAGUCAGCGAGUGAGCAGGAUAACAAUGCAUAGGUAACGAAGAAGUCCAAAUAGUUAGGUACAGACGAGGUGGGCUUGUUAAAGUGGUAGCUGAAAGUAAUGGAUAUAGAGUUGAAAAUGUUCUAAUCUAAAUAGUAAAAGUAACAAUUGUUAGAAUAAAUUAGUCAAACAAUAGCCACUUUUACAUAGUGUUGAAUAACAUUCAGUUUAAAAUCACUUCAAAUGAAUACAUUUGGGAAAUGAUUGAUGGAGUAAAUUAAGGCCUUAAUUGGUUAAUGAGUUAAUCAGGUAUGGUUGUGGUAGCACAUUGGAAUAAAAAGGCUUGCAAAAACUCUUAUAGAGGUGUUCAUGAUAUUGCGUCCAAUCCCUUUUUUCGUUUUGCAUUAGAUUACGAAAAAUAUUCCAGUGAUCUAUAUUUCAGGCUUUUGGUCUGUUUGCUCAUUCCUCUUUUUUCUUGUCGUGCCCUCAUUUUUCCAGGAGAGGGCGAUGUGAUUUGAACAGACGGGAGG